AGGGGAGCGAACGGGGACUAGAUAGCCGGUAGUCCUAGCCUGUAAACGUUGAGCAGCUGGUCGGAGAGUCCUCCAUAGCUUUCCGGUCGCAGCGAAAGUGAUAAGUGCUACGCCUGGGGAGUAUGGUCGCAAGGCUGAAAACUCAAAGGGAAAUGACGGGGGGCUCACACAAGCGGUGGAGGAUGUGGCCUAAUUCGAGGCUACGCGUAGAACCUUAUCCCUGGGCUUGACAUGCACGGAUUAACCUCGUGAAAGCGAGGCGACGCCUUCGGGUGGAACGUGCACAGGUGCUGCAUGGCUGUCGUCAGCUCGUGUCGUGAGAUGUCGGGUUAAGUACCUUAACGAGCGAAACCCUUGUCACUAGUUGCCAGCGGGUAAUGCCGGGGACUCUAGUGAGACUGCCGGUGUUAAACCGGAGGAAGGUGGGGAUGACGUCAAGUCCUCAUGGCCUUUAUGUCCAGGGCCGCACACGUCCUACAAUGGCGCGUACAAAGGGAAGCGAACUCGCGAGAGCAAGCAAAUCCCACAAAGCGCGCCCCAGUUCGGAUUGCAGGCUGCAACUCGCCUGCAUGAAGCCGGAAUCACUAGUAAUCGCAGGUCAGCAUACUGCGGUGAAUAUGUUCCUGAGCCUUGUACA
rnacentral:rRNA from 1 species